AUCACCGGAUGAAGCAACAUUCAC
rnacentral:siRNA from 1 species